rnacentral:rRNA from 1 species
CCUUGACAUACUAAGAACUUUCCAGAGAUGGAUUGGUGCCUUCGGGAACUUAGAUACAGGUGCUGCAUGGCUGUCGUCAGCUCGUGUCGUGAGAUGUUGGGUUAAGUCCCGCAACGAGCGCAACCCUUUUCCUUAUUUGCCAGCGGGUCAUGCCGGGAACUUUAAGGAUACUGCCAGUGACAAACUGGAGGAAGGCGGGGACGACGUCAAGUCAUCAUGGCCCUUACGGCCAGGGCUACACACGUGCUACAAUGGUCGGUACAAAGGGUUGCUACCUCGCGAGAGGAUGCUAAUCUCAAAAAGCCGAUCGUAGUCCGGAUCGCAGUCUGCAACUCGACUGCGUGAAGUCGGAAUCGCUAGUAAUCGCGGAUCAGAAUGCCGCGGUGAAUACGUUCCCGGGCCUUGUACACACCGCCCGUCACACCAUGGGAGUUUGUUGCACCAGAAGUAGGUAGUCUAACCGCAAGGAGGACGCUUACCACGGUGUGGCCGAUGACUGGGGUGAAGUCGUAACAAGGUAAGCGUAGAUGA